UAUUCUUGCUUUCCAGGGAAUGCUGGCAGGUUUGGCUCUGUGCAUCAUACCACAAAAAUCUCACUCCUCCAGAAGAGGGCUAAUACACGAAGGAGCUUUCUACCAGGCUGAUGUAUCACACAUGCUUUAUAUAUCAGCUUGGAUUUCUUUAGUCCAGACUAAAGGAUCAAAGACACAGGGAGAGGCAGGCAUAUGGGGAAGCUUUAAUUUUUGCAGACGUGGAGAGCAGGGCAGCAUAGCAUGGCUAGAAAAGCUUAGACAUAGCCAAAUGUAAGAAACUGUAUUUAUGAGCUGUGCUUAGAAAUUGCCUCUGAAGCUUGCAGAGCAGCUGGUGUCACUUUCAGCUGACAUUUGUACAACUGAAACACAUACAGUGCAGCCAGGAACAGGAAAUAGAAAUUAUGGAUAAAGACUUGGUGGAUGCAGGACUAGGAAAUGAGUGUUGUGUGGUCCAGGUUGCCUUUUUAUAGACUUAUGUCAUAUUAUCUACAUGAAGCGAAGGCAGGUAUUCAUCCCAAGGCUGAAAUAUUGCUGGGGAUGGGAGUAAAUUUAAAUGUCUUCAGCUAAACUAUUCUUCAAAAAUUCACUAUUAUAGGCUCUGACAGACGUGUCCACUUUCAACAUGUAGACAUCUGAGAUCCUGCCGUUCUUCUCCAGCUCUGAUUGUGUCCUACAGUCACACUCUCAACUUGGAGAAGUUACCUGUGAAGGAACACCAAUGUGUACUGUAUAGUGGAAAGCUGAUAUGAUAUCAGCAAGGAUUGUGGCAGCCCUGCUUGCAGUAAGAGAGAGCACUGCAGAUAUUGGAGAGCCCGGCUGCAAGAAAUCAAGGAUACAAAACCUGACGAGAGGAGUUUCAGAACGACUUGACAAGGUUAGACUGUGUACUUCAUUAUGUGGUUAGUUCAGCUUUUAUUCAUGCAUUGGGUGUUCAGCUGAAGAUCUAUAGGAGUCAAGAAGAGAGCAUGCAGGUAAAUACCUGCAGAUGACCAGUGAUUUGCCUGUGUGAAAUUGUGGAUUUCCACUGAAGUAUAAAUUUCUGAAGAAAACAAAGUAGAAGAGGAGACAAAUAAAAAUAGUGGAUUAACGAAGUCUAGCAAAAGAUUGGGUUAGGAACUGGAAAGGUGAAUUUCAUUUGUAUCUUCUGAUAAAACUUUCUGUAAAAUGAAUA